UGAGUAACACGUAUGCAACCUGCCUGCCACAGCCGGAUAAUCGGGAGAAAUUCCGUCUAAUACGGCAUAAUGCAUCGACGGGACAUCCUGUUGGUGCCAAAGGUUGAUUCCGGUGGCGGAUGGGCAUGCGUCGCAUUAGUUAGUUGGCGGUGUAACGGACCACCAAGACGACGAUGCGUAGGGGUUCUGAGAGGAAGGUCCCCCACACUGGUACUGAGACACGGACCAAACUCCUACGGAAGGCAGCAG
rnacentral:rRNA from 1 species